rnacentral:rRNA from 1 species
GACGAACGCUGGCGGCGUGCCUAAUACAUGCAAGUUGAGCGCUGAAGGUUGGUACUUGUACCAACUGGAUGAGCAGCGAACGGGUGAGUAACGCGUGGGGAAUCUGCCUUUGAGCGGGGGACAACAUUUGGAAACGAAUGCUAAUACCGCAUAAAAACUUUAAACACAAGUUUUAAGAUUGAAAGAUGCAAUUGCAUCACUCAAAGAUGAUCCCGCGUUGUAUUAGCUAGUUGGUGAGGUAAAGGCUCACCAAGGCGAUGAUACAUAGCCGACCUGGGAGGGUGAUCGGCCACAUUGGGACUGAGACACGGCCCAAACUCCUACGGGAGGCAGCAGUAGGGAAUCUUCGGCAAUGGACGAAAGUCUGACCGAGCGACGCCGCGUGAGUGAAGAAGGUUUUCGGAUCGUAAAACUCUGUUGGUAGAGAAGAACGUUGGUGAGAGUGGAAAGCUCAUCAAGUGACGGUAACUACACAGAAAGGGACGGCUAACUACGUG